rnacentral:rRNA from 1 species
AUUGAACGCUGGCGGCAGGCUUAACACAUGCAAGUCGAGCGGAGAUGAGGUGCUUGCACCUUAUCUUAGCGGCGGACGGGUGAGUAAUGCUUAGGAAUCUGCCUAUUAGUGGGGGACAACAUUCCGAAAGGAAUGCUAAUACCGCAUACGCCCUACGGGGGAAAGCAGGGGAUCUUCGGACCUUGCGCUAAUAGAUGAGCCUAAGUCGGAUUAGCCAGUUGGUGGGGUAAAGGCCUACCAAGGCGACGAUCUGUAGCGGGUCUGAGAGGAUGAUCCGCCACACUGGGACUGAGACACGGCCCAGACUCCUACGGGAGGCAGCAGUGGGGAAUAUUGGACAAUGGGGGGAACCCUGAUCCAGCCAUGCCGCGUGUGUGAAGAAGGCCUUUUGGUUGUAAAGCACUUUAAGCGAGGAGGAGGCUACCGAGAUUAAUACUCUUGGAUAGUGGACGUUACUCGCAGAAUAAGCACCGGCUAACUCUGUGCCAGCAGCCGCCGCCGUAA